UACGAAGGGGGCUAGCGUUGUUCGGAAUUACUGGGCGUAAAGGGCGCGUAGGCGGCGCAACAAGUCACUUGUGAAAUCUUCAGGCUUAACCUGAAGCGGCCAAGUGAUACUGUCGUGCUAGAGUGCAGAAGGGGCAAUCGGAAUUCUUGGUGUAGCGGUGAAAUGCGUAGAUAUCAAGAGGAACACCUGAGGUGAAGACGGGUUGCUGGGCUGACACUGACGCUGAGGCGCGAAAGCUAGGGGAGCAAACGGG
rnacentral:rRNA from 1 species